GGACCCGCACAAGCGGUGGAGCAUGUGGUUUAAUUCGAUGCAACGCGAAAACCUUACCUACUCUUGACAUACUUGGGAGCUCUUGUAAUGAGAGUGUGCCUUUUGGAACCAAGAUACAGGUGCUGCAUGGCUGUCGUCAGCUCGUGUCGUGAGAUGUUCCGUUAAGUCGGAUAACGAGCGCAACCCUUACCCUUAUUUGCCAGCGAUUCGGUCGGGAACUAUAAGGGGACUGCCGGUGAUAAACCGGAGGAAGGUGAGGACGACGUCAAGUCAUCAUGGCCCUUACGAGUAGGGCUACACACGUGCUACAAUGGGGAAUACAGACGGACGCUAAGCCGCGAGGUAGGGUC
rnacentral:rRNA from 1 species